CGACCCCAGGUCAGUCGGGACCACCCGCUGAGUUUAAGCAUAUAAAUAAGCGGAGGAGAAGAAACUUACAAGGAUUCCCCUAGUAACGGCGAGCGAACCGGGACCAGCCCAGCUUGAGAAUCGGGUGGCUUCGUCACCUGAAUUGUAGUCUGGAGAGGCGUCCUCAGCGACGGACCGGGCCCAAGUUCCCUGGAAAGGGACGCCUGGGAGGGUGAGAGCCCCGUCCGGCCCGGACCCUGCCGCACCACGAGGCGCCGUCAACGAGUCGGGUUGUUUGGGAAUGCAGCCCAAAUCGGGCGGUAAACUCCGUCCAAGGCUAAAUACAGGCGAGAGACCGAUAGCGAACAAGUACCGCGAGGGAAAGAUGAAAAGGACUUUGAAAAGAGAGUCAAAGAGUGCUUGAAAUUGCCGGGAGGGAAGCGGAUGGGGGCUGGCGAUGCGCCCCGGUCGUAUGCGGAACGGCUUCUGCUGGUCCGCCGAUCGGCUCGGGGCGUGGACUGUUGUCGGCCGUGCCGGCGGCCUAAGCCCGGGGGCCCUAGGUGCCUCCGGUCGCCGUCGUCGGCACGGCCGGUCUCCGCGCGCCGCAAGGCGCGCCCCUCGGGGCGCUGCGCUGCAACGGCCUGCGAGCUCCCCAUCCGACCCGUCUUGAAACACGGACCAAGGAGUCUGACAUGCGUGCGAGUCGACGGGUUCUGAAACCCUGGGAUGCGCAAGGAAGCUGACGAGCGGGAGGCCUUCACGGGCUGCACCGCUGGCCGACCCUGAUCUUCUGUGAAGGG
rnacentral:ncRNA from 1 species